rnacentral:lncRNA from 1 species
GAGGUGUUAGCCAGUGUCCCACAUGAUUGGAACAUAGACUAGGGACACAGCCAAAUAAUGCUCUUCUACCACAGUGGCAUGAUAUGAGUCUGAGAGUCUGGAGACUAAGAUUUUCAUCCUGGCUCAGCCAAAGUUUGCUUAUAUGACCCUGGGAAAGACUGUAGCAAAUAACUGAGCAUCUACUCGGCAACAGGCGUGCUACCUUUGAUGUUUCUUUCCUUCAGCAGUGAGAGGAUUGCCUUGCUGUGGGAAGCAGUUUCCUCAUGGAAAGUCCCAUCUGCUGUGUUCUUAUUCUCGACUUGUGGAUCUGCCCAUGUACCUGGAGGAAUGCAAGGACCCCUGAAACCCAGCUGCAGUGACCUCCCCCACCUUUCUGUGCAUUCAACAGCCUUGCGUUGGUUUUGUCUGUGUGCUAGUGACUGUCAGCUAUUGAUGGCGGAUUUAAGCUUUCCCAAGAACAGAAGAAAUCUAGCUCCAGUCCAGAGUUCUGGGAAGGAUGCUGCAGAGAUGGCACAGGAAGCUGGUGGAUGCGUGUGUGAGGGAUGGAGAUCAUUAAGACCAACAGCACACUGCACAGAAAUCAUCUCUUUAAUCAGAGAAGCUUAA